AACGAACGCUGGCGGCAGGCUUAACACAUGCAAGUCGAGCGCCCCGCAAGGGGAGCGGCAGACGGGUGAGUAACGCGUGGGAAUCUACCUUUUGCUACGGAAUAGCGCAGGGAAACUUGUGCUAAUACCGUGUGUGCCCUUCGGGGGAAAGAUUUAUCGGCAAAGGAUGAGCCCGCGUUGGAUUAGCUAGUUGGUGGGGUAAAGGCCUACCAAGGCGACGAUCCAUAGCUGGUCUGAGAGGAUGAUCAGCCACAUUGGGACUGAGACACGGCCCAAACUCCUACGGGAGGCAGCAGUGGGGAAUAUUGGACAAUGGGCGCAAGCCUGAUCCAGCCAUGCCGCGUGAGUGAUGAAGGCCUUAGGGUUGUAAAGCUCUUUCACCGGUGAAGAUAAUGACGGUAACCGGAGAAGAAGCCCCGGCUAACUUCGUGCCAGCCGCCGCUGUAA
rnacentral:rRNA from 1 species